AGAGAAAUUACUCCCAACCCCCACAGUUGACACUACACUAAAUUAUACAUCAAGGGUGAGGAUAGAAUAAAGUGAUGUUCACAUAUGCAAGGACUCAAAAUUAUAUAUCACAUAUAUCAUCACAUAGUUAAUGACUGAAGGAUGAAUGCCAGCAAUAGAAUAAUAGAAGACAUGCUUAAUGAAUGAAGGACUUAACAGGAAAAGGGCGAAGACAGUCAUAAGACAAAAAAAAUGUUUCACUGAAGAAAGUAAAAAUAGUGCUCCUUGAUUGAAAUGUUAUACUUCAAUGAAUAUACAAUAAAGAAUUCUGAGGAAGUGGACAAGAAGGAGGAGAUACUUAACUUUAUUUAUCUAUCCAACCAUGAUUUGUUUUAUUUCCAAUCACUGAGUAUUCACUUCUGCUAGUCACUGCCUGAAGCUCUACGGAAUACAAAGAUGGUGUGCUAUUGGCCUCUGAGAACAGGGAAUUGUGGGUUGAAUGUGCAGCAUAAUCACUGAACCACAAAAACGCUCUCAAGACUGAGACUUUACUAAUAAGCUUAUGGAGCUGAGAGAAGAGGAAUCCUUUCUACUACAAUGAAGUUUGUCACAAAAGAAGUCUAGGAUUCUGUGACACACUGUUGUUUGUUUCAAAAUGGAAGGACCACGAUUCAAGGAAUGUGGAUGGGCUCUAUGAGCUGAGUGGCUUCCAGCAGACAGUGAGCAAGCAGUGACCCCAGUUCUAUAACCACAAGGAACUGAAUUUUCUCAAUAACAAGAAUGAACUUAGAAGUCUAUAGAAGUUCUGCAGACAAGAACUCAGCCUGACUGACACUUCGAUUUUGGCCUUUUGAUACCCUGAACAGAGAACCCAGUUACUCUCUGUAUGAGGUUGAAAUACAGAACUAUGAACUAAUA